rnacentral:rRNA from 1 species
AACAGGAUUAGAUACCCUGGUAGUCCACGCCGUAAACGAUGUCGACUUGGAGGUUGUGCCCUUGAGGCGUGGCUUCCGGAGCUAACGCGUUAAGUCGACCGCCUGGGGAGUACGGCCGCAAGGUUAAAACUCAAAUGAAUUGACGGGGGCCCGCACAAGCGGUGGAGCAUGUGGUUUAAUUCGAUGCAACGCGAAGAACCUUACCUGGUCUUGACAUCCACGGAAUUUGGCAGAGAUGCCUUAGUGCCUUCGGGAACCGUGAGACAGGUGCUGCAUGGCUGUCGUCAGCUCGUGUUGUGAAAUGUUGGGUUAAGUCCCGCAACGAGCGCAACCCUUAUCCUUUGUUGCCAGCGGUCCGGCCGGGAACUCAAAGGAGACUGCCAGUGAUAAACUGGAGGAAGGUGGGGAUGACGUCAAGUCAUCAUGGCCCUUACGACCAGGGCUACACACGUGCUACAAUGGCAUAUACAAAGAGAAGCGACCUCGCGAGAGCAAGCGGACCUCAUAAAGUAUGUCGUAGUCCGGAUUGGAGUCUGCAACUCGACUCCAUGAAGUCGGAAUCGCUAGUAAUCGUGGAUCAGAAUGCCACGGUGAAUACGUUCCCGGGCCUUGUACACACCGCCCGUCACACCAUGGGAGUGGGUUGCAAAAGAAGUAGGUAGCUUAACCUUCGGGAGGGCGCUUACCACUUUGUGAUUCAUGACUGGGGGUGAAGUCGUAACAAGGUAACC